GAACGCUAGCGACAGGCUUAACACAUGCAAGUCGAGGGGCAGCACGCCUUCGGGUGGUGGCGACCGGCGCACGGGUGAGUAACACGUAUGCAACCUGCCCAUAACUUGGGGAUAGCCCGGGGAAACCCGGAUUAAUACCUAAUGACACAGGGGUACCGCAUGGUACUAUUUGUUAAAGAUUUAUCGGUUAUGGAUGGGCAUGCGCGGGAUUAGUUAGUUGGUAGGGUAACGGCCUACCAAGGCAUCGAUCCUUAGGGGAACUGAGAGGUUUAUCCCCCACACUGGUACUGAGACACGGACCAGACUCCUACGGGAGGCAGCAGUGAGGAAUAUUGGUCAAUGGUCGGGAGACUGAACCAGCCAAGUCGCGUGAAGGAAGACGGUAUUAUGUAUUGUAAACUUCUUUUACAGGGGAAUAAAAUGCGGGACGCGUCCUGUUUUUGUAUGUACCCUGAGAAUAAGCAUCGGCUAACUCCGUGCCAGCAGCCGCGGUAAUACGGAGGAUGCGAGCGUUAUCCGGAUUUAUUGGGUUUAAAGGGUGCGUAGGUGGGAUAUUAAGUCAGCGGUGAAAUCCCGAUGCUCAACAUCGGAACUGCCGUUGAACUGAUAUUCUUGAGUGUGACCAGGUAGGCGAAUUCGUAGUGUAGCGUGAAUGCAUAGAUAUAACGAAGAACACGGAUAGC
rnacentral:rRNA from 1 species